GUUUGAUCCUGGCUCAGGACGAACGCUGGCGGCGUGCUUAACACAUGCAAGUCGAGCGAGAAAGCUACCUUCGGGUAGUGAGUAAAGCGGCGGACGGGUGAGUAACGCGUGGGUAAUCUGCCUUUAAGUUUGGGAUAACUUCUCGAAAGAGAAGCUAAUACCAGAUAAUCUCUUUUAGAGUAAAGAUGGCUUUGCUAUUGCUUAAAGAUGAGCCCGCGUCCCAUUAGCUAGUUGGUGAGAUAAUAGCUCACCAAGGCAACAAUGGGUAGCCGACCUGAGAGGGUGAUCGGCCACACUGGGACUGAGACACGGCCCAGACUCCUACGGGAGGCUGCAGUGGGGAAUCUUCCGCAAUGGGCGCAAGCCUGACGGAGCAACGCCGCGUGAGUGAUGAAGGCCUUCGGGUCGUAAAGCUCUGUCCUUAGGGAAGAACAGUUUAGUUGCUAAUACCAGCUAGAUUUGACGGUACCUUUGGAGGAAGCCCUGGCUAAUUACGUGCCAGCAGCCGCGGUAAUACGUAAAGGGCUAGCGUUGUCCGGAAUCAUUGGGCGUAAAGGGUACGCAGGCGGUCUAGUAAGUCAGAGGUGAAAUCCAUCAGCUCAACUGAUGAAUUGCCUUUGAUACUGUUAGACUUGAGGAUAAGAGAAGAAAGCGGAAUUCCUAGUGUAGUGGUGAAAUACGUAGAUAUUAGGAAGAAUACCAAUGGCGAAAGCAGCUUUCUAACUUACUCCUGACGCUCAGGUACGAAAGCUAGGGUAGCAAACGGGAUUAGAUACCCCGGUAGUCCUAGCCGUAAACGCUGGAUACUAGGUGUUGGAGGUUCGACUCCCUUCGGUGCCGCAGUUAACGCAUUAAGUAUCCCGCCUGGGGAUUACGACCGCAAGGUUGAAACUCAAAGGAAUUGACGGGGGCCCGCACAAGCGGCGGAGCAUGUGGUUUAAUUCGAAGCAACGCGAAGAACCUUACCAGAACUUGACAUCCCUGUGACUAUUCCGUAAUAGGAAGUCUCUCUUCGGAGACACAGAAGACAGGUGGUGCAUGGCUGUCGUCAGCUCGUGUCGUGAGAUGUUGGGUUAAGUCCCGCAACGAGCGCAACCCCUAUUCUUAGUUGCCAGCGAGUAAUGUCGGGGACUCUAAGGAGACUGCCGCGGAAAAACGCGGAGGAAGGUGGGGAUGACGUCAAGUCAUCAUGCCCCUUAUGUUCUGGGCUACACACGUGCUACAAUGGUCUAUACAAUGGGUUGCUACACCGCGAGGUGAUGCUAAUCCUUAAAGUAGAUCUCAGUUCGGAUUGCAGGCUGCAACUCGCCUGCAUGAAGCUGGAGUCGCUAGUAAUCGUGGAUCAGAAUGCCACGGUGAAUACGUUCCCGGGCCUUGUACACACCGCCCGUCACACCACCCGAGUUGGGGGCACCAGAAGUCAUCGGCCUAACUUAGUGAAGGAGAUGCCGAAGGUGUGCCCGGUAAGGGGGGUGAAGUCGUAACAAGGUAGCCGUACCGGAAGGUGCGGCUGGAUCACCUCCUU
rnacentral:rRNA from 1 species